CCUACGGGAGGCAGCAGUGGGGAAUCUUGCGCAAUGGGCGAAAGCCUGACGCAGCAACGCCGCGUGAGCGAAGAAGGCCUUCGGGUUGUAAAGCUCUGUCAGGGGGAAAGAAGGCACCUGGGUUAAUAGCCCAAGGGCUGACGGUACCCCCAAAGGAAGCCACGGCUAACUACGUGCCAGCAGCCGCGGUAAUACGUAGGUGGCAAGCGUUGUCCGGAAUCAUUGGGCGUAAAGAGCGCGUAGGUGGCUUGUCAGGUCUGAUGUGAAAUCCUGGGGCUCAACCCCAGGCCUGCAUCGGAAACCGGCUUGCUAGAGUCUGGGAGAGGAGAGUGGAAUUCCUGGUGUAGCGGUGAAGUGCGUAGAUAUCAGGAGGAACACCGGUAGCGAAGGCGGCUCUCUGGAACAGUACUGACGCUGAGGCGCGAAAGCUAGGGGAGCGAACAGGAUUAGAUACCCUGGUAGUCCUAGCCGUAAACGAUGGACACUAGGUGUCGGGGGUGUCGACUCCCCCGGUGCCGAAGCUAACGCAUUAAGUGUCCCGCCUGGGGAGUACGGCCGCAAGGCUAAAACUCAAAGGAAUUGACGGGGGCCCGCACAAGCAGUGGAGCAUGUGGUUUAAUUCGACGCAACGCGAAGAACCUUACCUGGGCUUGACAUGUACGUGGUAGGAAUCGGAAACGUGACCGACCCUUCGGGGAGCUAUGAG
rnacentral:rRNA from 1 species